GUAACAAUGAUGACUGUGUUGAGAUUUGUAGCAUUAGUUGACACAGAAAGAGACCCAGUGCCUUUUAAAAAUGUUGAGUCUAUGCCCAUCUAAUCUGGCAAAUCAAAAUCAUUCAUAUUAUAAAUAGUGCAGAGAGACUAAUUUAAAUUAUUUUGGAGCAAUUGUUAUUAUGUUAGUAAUAUUAUUUUUAUCAUGCCAGACUGGGAAAAAAAUUCAGCUCGGGUAUUUUUUAAUCACAGCAGUCCAGUGGCAACGAGGCUGGG